ACGUCUCUGCAGCUGAGCCCGGCCAUCCCAGCUCUUAAUAAUGAUGUGAUCCCGAUUCAACAUGUGAACAAUGACAACAAUAACUCCUUAUCGCCCUGGGAUCUGCUAAUGUUCCUGGAAUUUCAUAUUUAUUAACUCAGAGCCCUAAAGUGGGACUCUGGGAAUGGAGGAUGUAUGUUAAUAUCCUAAUCCCGGAAAUGAAGACUCCAAAACUCAGAGUUUAAAUUGGUUUGCUAAGCUCUCACAGUUGGAAAGUGACUGAGCCAAUUUGUAUGUUCAGAUUCAUCAGAAUUAAAAAUUUCUGUUUUUUUUCUUCUAGGCCUCUCUAGGUUGGAAACUGCCAACUUACUACAUUUUCUAAAAAAUAGGCAUCAGGAAAAAAACGAACUGCUUGAGGUAUGAAUCUGCUUAUGAAAUCUCCAUUUCCUCUGGGAGCAUCCCAGUGAGGGUUCUGUGGGCCUUAAAAGCCAGGGCAGGAAUUUCCUCUCCACCCUGACUGUAAUGAGCUGCCUCCAGGGUUCUUAAAGUUAUGCAGAGCUGCCAUGGAGGCAACUGGCCACUCAUGCUGGGCUCUGAUUGCUGUAUUUCUUAAGCAUGACUGAGUCUGGAAAAUAAUUCAUUCUGUGAAAGGAUGUCACAAAACCACAAAGCUGGACCAGUGGGAUGCAGGCAAACCUAAUCCUGACUAAUGCAAAUACCAAGAAUCCAAAGUUGAAAUGUUGACCCUGGAGACAGUGUUGGAGCAGCAAAGAAUGUUCUCACAUAAGGGGCUGAGCUAAGUGAAGAGUCCCUGGACUUCUGUAGACAUCACCCUGGCAGUCAGAGGGCCCCUUCCGGUUGGGAAAUUCACCACCACAGGGAUGGAACACAGGGGUGUUUGGUAUUUAAGUGUAUUUUAUUGAUAAUGAAAAGUUUUGUUUCCCUUAUUGUAAAAUCU
ensembl:lncRNA